rnacentral:rRNA from 1 species
UACGAAGGGGGCGAGCGUUGUUCGGAAUCACUGGGCGUAAAGGGCGCGUAGGCGGCCCUUCUUGUCGCGUGUGAAAGCCCCGGGCUCAACCUGGGAACGGCGCGCGAGACGGGAGGGCUGGAGUUCGGGAGAGGAGCGUGGAAUUCCCAGUGUAGAGGUGAAAUUCGUAGAUAUUGGGAAGAACACCGGUGGCGAAGGCGGCGCUCUGGACCGAGACUGACGCUGAUGCACGAAAGUGUGGGGAUCAAACAGG